rnacentral:rRNA from 1 species
UACAGAGGAGCCAAGCGUUGUCCGGAUUGACUGGGCGUAAAGCGCACGCAGGCGGUUGCGCGCGUGGGGUGUGAAAUCUGGCCGCUUAACGGCCAGGCGCCAUCCCAUACGGCGCGACUGGAGUGAUGCAGAGGUCGAUGGAAUUGCCGGUGCAGUGGUGAAAUGCGUAGAGAUCGGCAGGAACACCCAGGGGGAAACCAGUCGACUGGGCAUCUACUGACGCUGAGGUGCGAGAGCGUGGGGAGCGAACCGG